UACGGGGGGGGCAAGCGUUGUUCGGAAUUACUGGGCGUAAAGGGCUCGUAGGCGGCCAACUAAGUCGGACGUGAAAUCCCCAGGCUCAACCUGGGAACUGCGUCCGAUACUGGCAGGCUUGAAUUUCGGAGAGGGGUGUAGAAUUCCAGGUGUAGCGGUGAAAUGCGUAGAGAUCUGGAGGAAUACCGGUGGCGAAGGCGGCCCCCUGGACGGACAUUGACGCUGAGGUGCGAAA
rnacentral:rRNA from 1 species